rnacentral:rRNA from 1 species
UACGUAGGUGGCGAGCGUUAUCCGGAAUUAUUGGGCGUAAAGAGCGCGCAGGUGGUUGAUUAAGUCUGAUGUGAAAGCCCACGGCUUAACCGUGGAGGGUCAUUGGAAACUGGUCGACUUGAGUGCAGAAGAGGGAAGUGGAAUUCCAUGUGUAGCGGUGAAAUGCGUAGAGAUAUGGAGGAACACCAGUGGAGAAGGCGGCUUCCUGGUCUGUAACUGACACUGAGGCGCGAAAGCGUGGGGAGCAAACAGGAUUAGAUACCCCU